CGCAUGGUCGUGAUAUUAAAGGUGGGGAUCUUCGGACCUACCGCUUUGGGAGGGACCCGCGGCCCAUUAGCUUGUUGGUGAGGUAACGGCUCACCAAGGCUAUGACGGGUAGCCGAGCUGAGAGGCUGAUCGGCCACAAUGGGACUGAGACACGGCCCAUACUCCUACGGGAGGCAGCAGUGAGGAAUAUUGGACAAUGGGGGCAACCCUGAUCCAGCGACGCCGCGUGGAGGAUGAAGGUUUUCGGAUUGUAAACUCCUUUCAGUGGGGAAGAAUAAGGCAGACCAUAAUACGGUCGGCUGAUGACGGUACCCACAGAAGAACCCCCGGCUAAAUACGUGCCAGCAGCAGCGGUAAUACGUAUGGGGGAAGUGUUACUCGGAAUCACUGGGCGUAAAGGGCCCGUAGGCGGACCAAUAAGUCAGAUGUUAAAUCUCCCGGCUUAACCGGGAAGCAGCAUAUGAAACUGUCGGUCUUGAGUACAGGAGAGGAAAGCGGAAUUCCUGGUGGAGCGGUGAAAUGCGUAGAUAUCAGGAGGAACACCGGUGGCGAAGGCGGCUUUCUGGACUGUUACUGACGCUGAGGGGCGAAAGCAUGGGGAGCGAACGGGAUUAGAGACCCCGGUAGUCCAUGCCGUAAACGAUGGAUACUAGGUGUGGGGGGUAUCGACCCCCUCUGUGCCGGAGUUAACGCAUUAAGUAUCCCGCCUGGGGAGUACGUGCGCAAGCAUUAAACUCAAAGGAAUUGACGGGGGCCCGCACAAGCGGUGGAGCAUGUGGUUCAAUUCGAUGCUACGCGAGGAACCUUACCUAGACUUGACAUGGUAGUCAUAGCUCGUGAAAGCGAGUGUCAGUUCGGCUGGACUAUCACAGGUGCUGCAUGGCUGUCGUCAGCUCGUGCUGUGAAGUGUCGGGUUAAGUCCCAUAACGAGCGCAACCCCUACGUUUAGUUGCCAGCGGUUCGGCCGGGGACUCUAAACGGACUGCCUGCAGAAAGCAGGAGGAAGGUGGGGAUGACGUCAAGUCCUCAUGGCCUUUAUGUCUAGGGCUACACACGUGCUACAAUGGUAGGGACAAAGGGUCGCCAACCCGUAAGGGGGAGCUAAUCCCAAAAACCCUAUCCCAGUUCGGAUUGAGUGGCUGCAACUCGCCCUCAUGAAGGUGGAAUCGCUAGUAAUCGCAGAUCAGCAAUGCUGCGGUGAAUACGUUCUCGGGCCUUGUACACACCGCCCGUCACACCACGGAAGCUGGUAACACCCGAAGCCGGUGGCCUAACCAUUUACUUGGAGGGAGCUGUCGAAGGUGGGACUAGUGACUGGGGUGAAGUCGGAACAAGGUA
rnacentral:rRNA from 1 species